rnacentral:rRNA from 1 species
CCUACGGGAGGCUGCAGUGGGGAAUAUUGCACAAUGGGCGCAAGCCUGAUUCCGCCAUGCCGCGUGUAUGAAGAAGGCCCUCGGGUUGUAAAGUACUUUCAGUCGUGAGGAAGGUUUUAAGGUUAAUAACCUUAGCAAUUGACGUUAGCGGCAGAAGAAGCAUCGGCUAACUCCGUGCCAGCAGCCGCGGUACUACUGAGGGUGCGAGCGUUAAUCUGAAUUACUGGGCGUAAAGGGCACGCAGGCGGUUAAUUAAGUUGGAUGUGAAAUCCCCGGGCUUAAGCUGGGAAUGGCAUUCAAGACUGGUUAGCUAGAGUCUUGUAGAGGGGGGUAGAAUAUCAUGUGUAGCGGUGAUAGGCGUAGUGAUGUGUAGGAAUACCGGUGGCGAAGGCGGCCCCCUUAACAAAGACUGACGCUCAUGUGCGAAGGCGUGGGGAGAAAACAGGAUUAGAUACCCUGGUAGUC